AACGAACGCUGGCGGCGUGUUUAAGACAUGCAAGUCGCACGGUGUCAUUUUGGUAGCAAUACUUGAAUGGCAUAGUGGCGCACGGGUGAGUAACACGUGAAUUACAUGCCCUGUAGAGGGGGAUAGCCCAGGGAAACUUGGAUUAAUACCCCAUGGUCUCGCAAGAGUAAAGGUGGCCGCAAGGCUGUCGCUACAGGAUUGGUUCGCGCCCUAUCAGCUUGUCGGCGGGGUAACGGCCCCCCAAGGGGACGACGGGUACCUGGUCUGAGAGGACGAUCAGGCAAACCGGAACUGAGACACGGUCCAGACACCUACGGGUGGCAGCAGGCGAGAAUAAUUCACAAUGGGGGCAACCCUGAGGGAGCAAGGCCGCGUGGAGGAGGACGGUCUUCGGAUUGUAAACUCCUGUCAUCCGGGAGUAAGACCUGGGAGUUAAUAGCUCACAGGGUUGAUAGUACCGGAAGAGGAAGGGACGGCUAACUUCGUGCCAGCCGCCGCGGUAAAAC
rnacentral:rRNA from 1 species